rnacentral:rRNA from 1 species
AGAGCGAACGCUGGCGGCAGGCCUAACACAUGCAAGUCGAGCGGCCGUAGCAAUACGGCAGCGGCAGACGGGAUAGUAACACGUGGGAACGCGCCCUUCGGUUCGGAAUAACUCGGGGAAACUUGAGCUAAUACCGGAUACGCCCUUACGGGGAAAGAUUUAUUGCCGAAGGAACGGCCCGCGUCCGAUUAGCUAGUUGGUGAGGUAAUGGCUCACCAAGGCUACGAUCGGUAGCUGGUCUGAGAGGAUGACCAGCAUCACUGGGACUGAGACACGGCCCAGACUCCUACGGGAGGCAGCAGUGGGGAAUCUUGCGCAAUGGGCGAAAGCCUGACGCAGCAACGCCGCGUGCGGGAUGAAGGCCUUCGGGUUGUAAACCGCUUUCAGGAGGACGAAUUGACGGUACCUCCAGAAGAAGCCCCGGCCAACUACGUGCCAGCAGCCGC